GACCUGUGUAAGGCACCAGACUUCGAAUCUGGGGAUUGCAGGUUCGAGUCCUGCCGUGGUCG
rnacentral:tRNA from 1 species